rnacentral:rRNA from 1 species
UAGGGAAUCUUCCACAAUGGACGCAAGUCUGAUGGAGCAACGCCGCGUGAGUGAAGAAGGCUUUCGGGUCGUAAAACUCUGUUAUUGAAGAAGAACGUGUGUGACAGUAACUGGUCAUGCAGUGACGGUAUUCAAUCAGAAAGUCACGGCUAACUACGUGCCAGCAGCCGCGGUAAUACGUAGGUGGCAAGCGUUGUCCGGAUUUAUUGGGCGUAAAGCGAGUGCAGGCGGUCUUUUAAGUCUGAUGUGAAAGCCUUCGGCUUAACCGAAGAAGGGCAUCGGAAACUGGGAGACUUGAGUGCAGAAGA